CGUGGGACAGCUACACGGGCGGGGGAGGUGGGCUGGCGUGGGGCCCUCUGACGCAGCAGCGGGUGAGCGGAUCUGCGACUAAUGGCGGCCCGGUGGUCAGCUGCUGCUUGGCCGUGGUGCGGCGGCCACGAGGUGGUGUGCUCAGACGGAUGUCGACCGCCAUAAUCGAGUUUGCUCAGCCCGACGAGAACAUUCCCUUUGGACGGAUGAGAAUCACAAGGCACCUGAGGAUCGCCCUGCCCACUUUCACCGAGUCGGGUCACUACACCCUCCUUGUCCAUGCUAUUUUCGUCAUCACUUCACUUAGGGAACCAGGAAGCAAAGUUGAAGUAUAAGCAGCUUAUGCAAACAGCAUACAUGCAAUGCUAUGGAAAUAUCAACGUCUCAAACUUUAUCCUCCUCUACUAAAGAGGCUUCCUAGGAGACCAAGAAAGAAUAUAAUCCAGGUUUGAAUGAAAUAGGUGCUAGGUUGGGCCUACAAAGAGGAAAUGCAAAUGCUGUGGACAGCUUGGCCAGAUACAGAAGAAUUGUAAAGAGUAAGUUGACCAAGAAUUUUCAGAAGAUGAACAGACUGGUCCCUCGAUUAGUGCAAGCAAUGUAUGGCACUCUUCCUCCCAAAUGCCUUUUUCUUUAGAUUUUGUAAAAGUAUUGUUCUCAUGUAAAACUAAUGCAUUUAUUUAGCUUCAGUAAAAUUAGUUAAUUCUAUAAAA